rnacentral:misc_RNA from 1 species
GACGCGAGAGCAUAUAGCCGGAAUGAGACGCACGGCAAUCGAGGGACAGAUAGGUCGGGCACACAAGCAGAGGACUUUCAAUGCUAGAUCUUAUUGGUCUGAUACUUGAUUCACUGAGUUGCUCGCAGAAAAGAAAAAGAAUUGGUCAGCGGGAUUUUACAUAAGCUCCGGCUGCUCUGCGAGUGUGGGGUGAGCUGUGGCUUGAGGUAGCUUUUUGGUGUGUUUUUGGUUGGUGACGUUGGAGCUUGACAUCCUGCUCCUUCAACUACCACCGACCAAAUUCUGCAAUCGUA